GGAGAGGUGGCUAAAUGGUUAAAGCAUUUGACUUUCAGCCAUUAAAUCCCAAGUUCAAACCCUGCUUUAUUUA
rnacentral:tRNA from 1 species